UUCCCUGUAGCGUAAUGGCUAGCGUGUUGGACUUCUAAUUCAAAAACCGUGGGCUCGAAUCCCACCUGGGAUGAA